UUUGAUGCUUACAACAAUGGAUGGGGAGGAUUUCACUCGUCCUGUGAAUUCAGAUGCAGUCAAGAAGUACUUUGCCUAAAAAAAAGUAUAUAAAAACAGAAUAGCUCGCUAAGUUGAAAACCCGAAAGGGCGGCUUAGGCAAAAAUGAGCGUCUCGGUGGAGAACCCGCAAGGGUGAUCCAGGCAAAAGUUAGAGACAGAAAAAGUA
rnacentral:lncRNA from 1 species